rnacentral:tRNA from 1 species
GACCGCGUAGUUCAGUUGGCAGAGCAUUGGGCUAGUAUUCCAAAGGUCGUAGGUUCGAUUCCCACCGUGGUCA